rnacentral:rRNA from 1 species
GUAGGGAAUAUUGGUCAAUGGGCGAGAGCCUGAACCAGCCAAGUCGCGUGAAGGAAGAAGGAUCUAUGGUUCGUAAACUUCUUUUGCAGGGGAAUAAAGUGCGGGACGUGUCCUGUUUUGUAUGUACCCUGAGAAUAAGGAUCGGCUAACUCCGUGCCAGCAGCCGCGGUAAUACGGAGGAUCCGAGCGUUAUCCGGAUUUAUUGGGUUUAAAGGGUGCGUAGGUGGGUUGAUAAGUCAGCGGUGAAAGUUUGCAGCUUAACUGUAAAAAUGCCGUUGAAACUGUCGGACUUGAGUGUAAAUGAGGUAGGCGGAAUGCGUGGUGUAGCGGUGAAAUGCAUAGAUAUCACGCAGAACUCCGAUUGCGAAGGCAGCUUACUAAGCUACAACUGACACUGAAGCACGAAAGCGUGGGGAUCAAACAGGAUUAGAAACCCUGGUAGUCC